rnacentral:rRNA from 1 species
UACGUAGGGGGCAAGCGUUGUCCGGAUUUAUUGGGCGUAAAGAGCGUGUAGGCGGCUGGGUAGGUCCGCUGUGAAAACUCGAGGCUUAACCUCGAGACGUCGGUGGAAACCAUCCAGCUAGAGUCCGGAAGAGGAGAGUGGAAUUCCUGGUGUAGCGGUGAAAUGCGCAGAUAUCAGGAAGAACACCCGUGGCGAAAGCGGUUCUCUGGGACGGUACUGACGCUGAGACGCGAAAGCGUGGGGAGCGAACAGG